rnacentral:rRNA from 1 species
UACGUAGGGGGCAAGCGUUGUCCGGAAUCAUUGGGCGUAAAGCGCACGUAGGCGGCUUUGUAAGUUAGAGGUGAAAGCCCGGGGCUCAACUCCGGAACUGCCUUUAAGACUGCAUCGCUAGAAUUGUGGAGAGGUAAGUGGAAUUCCGAGUGUAGAGGUGAAAUUCGUAGAUAUUCGGAAGAACACCAGUGGCGAAGGCGACUUACUGGACACAUAUUGACGCUGAGGUGCGAAAGCGUGGGGAGCAAACAGG